ACAAGCGGAGGAGCAUGUGGUUUAAUUCGAUGAUACGCGAGGAACCUUACCUGGGCUCGAACGUAAGAUGACUGUAGGUGAAAGCUUACAUCUCUUCGGAGCAUUUUACGAGGUGCUGCAUGGUUGUCGUCAGCUCGUGCCGUGAGAUGUUGGGUUAAGUCCCGCAACGAGCGCAACCCUUGCCUUUAGUUGCCAGCAGUUCGGCUGGGCACUCUAAAGGGACUGCCGGUGUUAAACCGGAGGAAGGUGGGGAUGACGUCAAGUCCUCAUGGCCUUUAUGACCAGGGCUACACACGUACUACAAUGGCCGAUACAAAGGGCAGCGACACUGCGAGGUGAAGCCAAUCCCGUAAAAUCGGUCUCAGUCCGGAUUGGAGUCUGCAACUCGACUCCAUGAAGUUGGAACCGCUAGUAAUCGUGGAUCAGCAUGCCACGGUGAAUACGUUCCCGGGCCUU
rnacentral:rRNA from 1 species